CAAUACUGAACUCAUAGAAUGAAUUGGGAAGUACUUCCCCUGUGUCUAUCUUCUGGAAGAGACUGUAAAAGCCAUGUGAGGACACCUAGAUGAUGUCAUUUAUGAGGAAAGGGCCUUCAUCAGACUCUGGUCCUGCUGGUGCCUUGAUCUUGGACUUCCUACUCUCCAGAACUGCACAUCAUUAAAAUAUCAACUUUGGCAGAGACGUGGAGCAAGAUGACUGCAUAGAAGUUUCUACUGAUCAUUUCCCACCGCUUCCACGGGAACACCAAGUUUGAUAUCCACACAAAGGGAGCACCUUCAAAGGAAGCAAAAAUCAGGUGAGCACUGACAGUGCCUGGUUUUGAAUUAAUAUUUCUGAAAGAGGCACUGAAGAGGGUAGGCAAAAUAGUCUUAAACUGCUAACAUUAUCCCUCUCCCAUUCCCCAGCAGCAGCUGUGUGGCAUGGAGAAUUUGUGCACUUGGGAGGGAAAGUGCAGUGAUUGUGAUGCUUUGCAUUGAACUUGGUGCUUCCCUGUCACAGUGGAAAGCAGAACCAGACUGUACUUAUCUAACGCUUUCCUACAGAGGGAAUGUGUGGACAGAGCCUAGCCAGAUGGGAAUGGUCCAUCCCAGUGGUCAGAGUUUGAGUUCCAGCAAGCCUAGCUCCUAAGUGCUGAGCUGGUCUCAGAGCCAGUGGACUUGGGGGAUAUGCAACCUACUGAGAUACCAGCAAGGGUGCUAAGGGAAUGCUUGCAUCUUCCCUUUCCCAACCCCAGGCAGCACAGUUCACAGCUGCAAAAGAGACCCCUUCCUUCUACUUGAGGAGAGGAGAGGAAAGAGAAAACUGGACUUUUUCUUGUAUCUUGAAUAAAAACUCAGCCACAGUAGAUUAGAGCACCAUAAGGCCUAUAAGCCCCAUUGCAAGCCCUAGCUCCCAGAUAACAUUUCUAGACACACCCUGGGCCAGAAGGGAACAUACUGCCUUGAAAGAAAGGAUCCAGUACAAGCAGAAUCCAUCACCUCCUGACUAAAGAGCACUUGGGACCUGAAGAAUCUCACAGCAAUACCCAGCUGUGAGACUUGAGUGAGACUCAGAGACAUGCUGGCUUCAGGAAAGAACCAGCACAUUCCCAGCUGUGGAGGCUAUGAGGAGAAACUCCUUCUAUUUGAGAAAAGCAAAGGCAAAAGCAAAGGGGACUUUGUGUUGCAUCUUAGGUACCAGCUCAGCCACAGUAGGGUAGAGCACCAAGCAGGCUCAUCAGGUCCCCAGUUACAGGCCUUGGUUCACGGCAUUUUAGGACCUACCCUGGACCGAGGGGAGACCACUACCAUGAAGAAUGAGUCCCAGGCCUGGCAGCAUUCACCACAAGCUGACUAAAGAUCCUUUGGGCCUCAACUGAACAUUGGCAGUAGGCUGUUAGUACUUCCCAUGGGCUUAUGAUGGUGGAGCCUACGGGGUGAGGCUCCUUUGCCUUUAGAAAGGGAGGGAAGAAUGGGGAGGACUCCAUUUUGUGGUUUGAGUACCAGCUCAGCUCCAGGGGAACAGAAUGCAAGGUAGAUUUUUAAAGUUUUUUCUCCAGUACCUGGCUCCUAGAUGGCAUCUCUAGACCCACCCACGACCUGGGGGAACUUGCUACCCUGAAGGGAAGAACACAAUACUGGCUGGCUUUACUACCUGCUGAUUGUAGAGACCCAGAACCUUGAACAAACAUAGGUAGUAGCCUAGUAGUGGUCACGUUGAGCGUUGGGCAAGACCUAGAGCUGUGCUGACUUCAGUUCUGAUUCAGCAGUGUCCCAGGGGAGGUGGCUACAAAGGUGCUUGUGUUAUGUCAUCCCCAGCUCCAGGAAGCUCAGCAUACAAAGAGAAACUCCAUUGGUUUUGGAGAAAGUAAGGAAAGAGAACAAGAGUCUCUGCCUGGUAAUCCAGAUAAUUCUUCCAGAUCUUAUCCAAGACCACUUAAGUGGUACUUCUGUGAGUCUACAAGGACCACAGUAUUGCUGGGCUUGGGGUGCCACUUAAUGCAUAUACAGUUUAGAUCACAACACCCAAGUCCUUCUGAAUACUUAAGAAGCCUUCCCAAGGAGAAAGGGUACAAAGAAGCCCAGAUGGCGAUGACUAUAAUAAGUACCUAACUCUUCAAUGCUCAGACACCAAAGAACUUCCGCAAGCAUCAAGAACAUUCAGGGAAUAUGAUCUAACCAAAUAGAGUAAAUAAGGCACAAGGAACCAAUCCUGGAGAAACAGAGACACGUGACAUU
rnacentral:lncRNA from 1 species